rnacentral:misc_RNA from 1 species
GAUGAAGAACGUAGCGAAAUGCGAUAAGUAAUGUGAAUUGCAGAAUUCAGUGAAUCAUCGAGUUUUUGAACGCAUAUUGCGCCCUCUGGUAUUCCGGGGGGCAUGCCUGUUCGAGCGUCAUUAAAUAACCCUCAAGCAUAGCUUGGUGUUGGGCUUUUUUACGUCCUUGACUGGGAUGGGCCUAAAAAUUAGUGGCGAUGGCUUUUUUACUUUCAAGCGUAGUAAAUCUCGUCUUGCUAAAGAGGAAAAAGAUUUUUUUUCUACCAAAAAUUUUAACAUUUAAAGUUGACCUCGGAUCAGGUAGGAUUACCCGCUGAACUUAAGCAUAUCAAUAAGCGGAGGA